CGAAUGGCUCAGAUUUUAAUUUGGCGGUAUUGUGCUGCAUGUCGGUCCGUUAUAGGUUUUUUGUCCAUUUUCGCACCGGAUUACCUCUGUUACAAUACAUGAACUGUAGUUAUAACCAGCGUUUUAUAGGGUUAAAAAUACUAUAUACUAUACCGACCUACAUCUGACUAGUAAAUUAAAUGACGAUAAACAUAAUUAGUCGACACCGUUUAUAAUUGUCUAGUAUGUGAUAAAAUGUUCUAUUUUCUGAUCGGGAAUCAAAUAUCGGAUCUUAAUAUUUUAAAUUGAUGUCUUGGGAAAGACAGCAACAUGAGUUACAAAUGUAGAAUUUAAAGAGUUUAACUUGUCUAGCCGUUUUGGCUUAAACUAUUGGCAAGAGGCCACCCAAACAAUACAUUCAGCAGGUGCGCGAACCAAGGUUUGGGCAAAAUGUUAUUAUUAUUAUUCUAGCCUUUGGAUUAGAUGACAUAGCCAUUACCUACUGGAAUAUAGGUCAAAUUCUUAUUUAUUUGAAACAUGCUUUAAACACAGCAGGGUGUGAAUACUGCAGAACGAGGGACAAGGUUUUCCAACAGUUGGUACGACUAGCUUUUGUUGUGUGACUUAAUUAAACUUCUACGCCAAAUUUUAGCCAUAUUUAAGGAUUAUUUCAGAAAUACG
rnacentral:lncRNA from 1 species